rnacentral:rRNA from 1 species
UACGUAGGGGGCGAGCGUUGUCCGGAAUGAUUGGGCGUAAAGGGCGCGUAGGCGGCUUUGCAAGUCAGUAGUGGAAGUCCAUUUUUCAAGGAUGGAAGUGCUACAGAAACUGCGGAGCUUGAGUGCAGGAGAGGUUAUCGGAAUUCCCGGUGUAGCGGUGAAAUGCGUAGAGAUCGGGAGGAACACCAGUGGCGAAGGCGGGUGACUGGACUGCAACUGACGCUGAGGCGCGAAAGUGUGGGGAGCAAACAGGAUUAGAUACCCU